GAGUUUGAAUCCGUGGCUACCGAGUAUUGAACGCUGGCGGCUAGGCCCUAACACAUGCCAAGUCGAGCGGAGUGACGGGAGCUUGCUCCUUGAUUCAGCGGCGGACGGGUGAGUAAUGCCUGGGAAUCUGCCUGGUAGUGGGGGACAACGUUUCGAAAGGGACGCUAAUACCGCAUACGUCCUACGGGAGAAAGCAGGGGACCUUCGGGCCUUGCGCUAUCAGAUGAGCCUAGGUCGGAUUAGCUAGUUGGUGGGGUAAUGGCUCACCAAGGCGACGAUCCGUAACUGGUCUGAGAGGAUGAUCAGUCACACUGGAACUGAGACACGGUCCAGACUCCUACGGGAGGCAGCAGUGGGGAAUAUUGGACAAUGGGCGAAAGCCUGAUCCAGCCAUGCCGCGUGUGUGAAGAAGGUCUUCGGAUUGUAAAAGCAC
rnacentral:rRNA from 1 species